rnacentral:rRNA from 1 species
AAUUAAUAUUAUUGUUUUGUUAAAUUUUAUUUAUUUAAUAUUAAUAAAGUAAAUUUUAGUUAUUGUAAAAUGAAUUGAUUUAAUUAUUUUUACUAUAGUGUAUUAGUACUGUGAGGGAAAUUAAAAAUUAUGUUAUAAUUUAUAAAAGGUAAUUUUGUUUAUUGUAUCUUGUGUAUCAGAGUGUAUUUAAAUAUAUUAUAAAUUUUUUUAUUCUCGAAUUUAAAAGAUUUAAUUAAAAAUAUUGGUUAUUAUUUCAUAAAUAUUAAUAAUUUUUAGUUGGUAAUGAAAUGUUAUUCGUUUUUAAGGAUAUCUAGUUUUUUAAUAAAUGAAUUUAAUUCAGAAGAUAUAAUUUAUUAAAUAAUUUAAUAUUUGGAUAUUUUAUAUUUUUAAUUUUAAAAGGGAUUAACUUUUUAAAAUAUAAUUAUAAUAUUGUGAUCAAGGAGAAUUUUAUAGAUUUAGAAUUUGUUAAUAGUUAAAGGAUGUUAAAAUUUAAUUCUUAUUUUUAUUAAUUUUAAUUAUUAUUUAAUUUUUAUAUUAAAAUAUUAGAUUGAAUUUAUAAAUCUUGGAAAGUAUGAUUUAAUUAGUAAAAUUCUAGUUUAUUUUAUGAAAUAUAUUGAUUUGUUAAUAUGAAGAAUUAGGCAAAAAUUUUGCUCGCCUGUUUAUUAAAAACAUGGUCUCUUGGAUUAGUAUUAUAGGAGAUCUAACCUGCCCACUGAAUAUUUAUUUGAAGGGCCGCAGUAUUUUGACUGUGCAAAGGUAGCAUAAUCAUUAGUCUUUUAAUUGAAGGCUGGUAUGAAUGGUUGGAUGAAGUGAAUACUGUUUUAUAUUAAUUUGAAUUGAAUUUAGAUUUUAAGUAAAAAGACUUAAAUAAUAUUAAGGGACGAGAAGACCCUAUAGAGUUUAAUAAAUGCAUUAAUUGAUUGGGUUAUAGAAGUAAUUUUUAAUUAUUAAAAAGUUUAUUUAAUUGGGGUGAUUAGAAAAUAAAUUGAACUUUUCUUUAUAUUUAAUGUUAUAAUUAGUUAUGGGAUCCAUAUUUGAUGAUUAAAAGAUUAAAUUACCUUAGGGAUAACAGCAUAAUUCUUUUUGAGAGUUCAUAUCAAAAAAAGAGAUUGUGACCUCGAUGUUGGAUUAAGAUUAGUUUUGGGUGCAGAUGUUCAAUAACUAGGUCUGUUCGACCUUGAAAGUCUUACAUGAUCUGAGUUUAAACCGGCGUGAGCCAGGUUGGUUUCUAUCUUUAAUUAAUUAAAAUAUUUUAGUACGAGAGGACCAAAUAUUUAAAAUAAUUUUUAAUUUAGGAAUAUUAUUAAUAU